AGCCGCCAGCGGCAGGUGUGACGUCGAAGGACAGGUAGGCGGCGUCAGCAGGGGCGGCCAUUCGCGGCAUCGGCAGGCCGCCGAUCAGCUGGCUGGACAGCGGCCCGGCCUCGUCGGGGCCUGCUGCUGGUCUUGUGCUGGCAGUUCGGCUCUUGUAGAACACCCUGCACAGGACCCAAUCCUCCUGCAAUGGGGUAAAAAAAAAAGUCAGACACUACUGCUAUGGUGGUGGGUAGCCUAGCCUCACGUCUGAACUCCGUCUCUGGUGUCUGAUGAACGCAUCAGCAGCUCGUUGCUUGAUCGAUCGUCGGCAGGUUUGGAACUCGUCGUACGGUUGAAUACACGCGCUGGAGCAUCCGCUAGACGUUUACGUGGAUCGAUGAAAACGAAAGGCCAACUUGGCGUGUAAAGAACAGGCAUACAUGCACGGGGACGUUUACUGCACUGGCGCUGAUGCAUGGCGACUGAAAGGAACCACUGAACUACUUACUACCUUGUAACGGAUUGGCGAUGUGUACCAGGUUUGGAGUCAUUGGGAACGGACCAGGUCAGCUGCAAUGAUUGCCAAGUGGGCCGGGUCGACUAGCUUAUCACAUCGGAAUGUUCAGAGCAGGAUCGAUCCGAUCCAUUGCUAGCCUCAGCGAAAUCGAAAAGAUUGCAUUUUUUGUUGUUGUUGUUGUUGUCUUCUUCCAGCUGCCAGUUAUUAACAGAGACGUGUGUGAUGGGCAAAAUGUUUCAACAAAACGAGAGAAGCUUCAUUUCAUUAGUUCCCUGCCUGAACGAGAGAAGUUUGCAACCUGAUGCAGACAGGGACGGACGAGCGAGGGCACCCAUGAAACGGGCGUGUACGUACGUACGUACCUGGAGCUGGAGCUGGAGGAGAGGUGAGCCGGGGCGGUCGGCAACGGGCGGGCCGUCCACGCGGAACUCGUGCAUGACCCACUCGGUCUUGCUCCCGCGGGGCGCCCUGCCCUGGUAGAACACCAGCGUCUUGCGCAUCCCGACCAGCGCGGCGGUGUCGCCGGCCCCGCGGCGGCCGGAGACGGAGAUGGGGCGGUCCUUGCCCGUGGCCUUCCAGUACCCGGUGCGCGUGGCGCGGUUGGUCCGCUGCCCCGUGGCGUACUUGCGGUCGUGCAGGCUGAAGAAGUACCACUCGCGGCCGCCCACGCACGCCUCGUCUGAUCAUGGACAAGACAACGCUGUGAAGAAAUAAUAGCAGAGAAAAUGGCGCGUCGUCGACUUUUUUCCUUUUGGCACACCAUGCGGAUGCGGCGAUAGAUGGCCAUGAAUUAUCUUCGCUUUUUUACAUACCUAAUAAAUCUAUAAAACCUCAAUGGUCUAUCUUUUUCGUUCUUA